rnacentral:rRNA from 1 species
GAUGAACGCUGGCGGCGUGCUUAACACAUGCAAGUCGAACGAUGAAGCCCAGCUUGCUGGGUGGAUUAGUGGCGAACGGGUGAGUAACACGUGAGUAACCUGCCCUUAACUCUGGGAUAAGCCUGGGAAACUGGGUCUAAUACCGGAUAUGAGCGUCCACCGCAUGGUGGGUGUUGGAAAGAUUUAUCGGUUUUGGAUGGACUCGCGGCCUAUCAGCUUGUUGGUGAGGUAAUGGCUCACCAAGGCGACGACGGGUAGCCGGCCUGAGAGGGUGACCGGCCACACUGGGACUGAGACACGGCCCAGACUCCUACGGGAGGAAGCAGUGGGGAAUAUUGCACAAUGGGCGCAAGCCUGAUGCAGCGACGCCGCGUGAGGGAUGACGGCCUUCGGGUUGUAAACCUCUUUCAGUAGGGAAGAAGCGAAAGUGACGUUACCUGCAGAAGAAGCACCGGCUAACUACGUG